UGCGUAGGCGGGCUAAUAAGUCAGUGGUGAAAUCUCUCGGCUCAACCGGGAAACUGCCAUUGAUACUGUUAGUCUUGAGUUCGGCUGAGGUAGGCGGAAUGUGUAAUGUAGCGGUGAAAUGCUUAGAUAUUACACAGAACACCAAUUGCGUAGGCAGCUUACUAGACCGACACUGACGCUGAGGCACGAAAGCGUGGGGAGCGAACAGGAUUAGAUACCCUGGUAGUCC
rnacentral:rRNA from 1 species